CCGGCGAGUUACGAUUUGAUGCAAGGUUAAGCAGUAAAUGUGGAGCCGUAGCGAAAGCGAGUCUGAAUAGGGCGUUUAGUAUUUGGUCGUAGACCCGAAACCAGGUGAUCUACCCUUGGUCAGGUUGAAGUUCAGGUAACACUGAAUGGAGGACCGAACCGACUUACGUUGAAAAGUGAGCGGAUGAACUGAGGGUAGCGGAGAAAUUCCAAUCGAACCUGGAGAUAGCUGGUUCUCUCCGAAAUAGCUUUAGGGCUAGCCUCAAGUGAUGAUUAUUGGAGGUAGAGCACUGUUUGGACGAGGGGCCCCUCUCGGGUUACCGAAUUCAGACAAACUCCGAAUGCCAAUUAAUUUAACUUGGGAGUCAGAACAUGGGUGAUAAGGUCCGUGUUCGAAAGGGAAACAGCCCAGACCACCAGCUAAGGUCCCAAAAUAUAUGUUAAGUGGAAAAGGAUGUGGCGUUGCCCAGACAACUAGGAUGUUGGCUUAGAAGCAGCCAUCAUUUAAAGAGUGCGUAAUAGCUCACUAGUCGAGUGACACUGCGCCGAAAAUGUACCGGGGCUAAACAUAUUACCGAAGCUGUGGAUUGUCCUUUGGACAAUGGUAGGAGAGCGUUCUAAGGGCGUUGAAGCAUGAUCGUAAGGACAUGUGGAGCGCUUAGAAGUGAGAAUGCCGGUGUGAGUAGCGAAAGACGGGUGAGAAUCCCGUCCACCGAUUGACUAAGGUUUCCAGAGGAAGGCUCGUCCGCUCUGGGUUAGUCGGGUCCUAAGCUGAGGCCGACAGGCGUAGGCGAUGGAUAACAGGUUGAUAUUCCUGUACCACCUAUAAUCGUUUUAAUCGAUGGGGGGACGCAGUAGGAUAGGCGAAGCGUGCGAUUGGAUUGCACGUCUAAGCAGUAAGGCUGAGUAUUAGG
rnacentral:rRNA from 1 species